rnacentral:rRNA from 1 species
CCCCUAGUAACUGCGAGUGAAGCGGGAAAAGCUCAAAUUUAAAAUCUGGCGGUCUUCGGCCGUCCGAGUUGUAGUCUGGAGAAGUGCUUUCCGCGCUGGACCGUGUACAAGUCUCUUGGAACAGAGCGUCAUAGAGGGUGAGAAUCCCGUCUUUGACACGGACUACCAGUGCUUUGUGAUGCGCUCUCAAAGAGUCGAGUUGUUUGGGAAUGCAGCUCAAAAUGGGUGGUAAAUUCCAUCUAAAGCUAAAUAUUGGCGAGAGACCGAUAGCGAACAAGUACCGUGAGGGAAAGAUGAAAAGCACUUUGGAAAGAGAGUUAAACAGUACGUGAAAUUGCUGAAAGGGAAACGCUUGAAGUCAGUCGCGUUGGCCAGGACUCAGCCUUGCUUUGGCUUGGUGCAUUUUCUGGUUGACGGGCCAGCAUCGAUUUUGACCGCUGGAAAAAGGCUAGGGGAAUGUGGCACCCUCGGGUGUGUUAUAGCCCUUAGUCACAUACGGCGGUUGGGAUCGAGGACCGCAGCACGCCUUUAUGGCCGGGGUUCGCCCACGUCCGUGCUUAGGAUGCUGGCGUAAUGGCUUUAAACGACCCGUCUUGAAACACGGACCAAGGAGUCUAACAUGCCUGCGAGUGUUUGGGUGGAAAACCCGAGCGCGUAAUGAAAGUGAAAGUUGAGAUCCCUGUCGUGGGGAGCAUCGACGCCCGGACCUGAACUUCGGUGAUGGCUCUGCGGUAGAGCAUGUAUGUUGGGACCCGAAAGAUGGUGAACUAUGCCUGAAUAGGGUGAAGCCAGAGGAAACUUUGGUGGAGGCUUGUAGCGAUUUUGACGUGCAAAUCGAUUGUCAAAUUUGGGUAUAGGGGCGAAAGACUAAUCGAACCAUU